AAGCGGUGGAUGAUGUGGGUUAAUCGAUGCAACGCGAAAACCUUACCUACCCUUGACAUGUCCGGAAUCCCGAAGAGAUUUGGGAGUGCUCGCAAGAGAACCGGAACACAGGUGCUGCAUGGCUGUCGUCAGCUCGUGUCGUGAGAUGUUGGGUUAAGUCCCGCAACGAGCGCAACCCUUGUCAUUAGUUGCCAUCAUUUGGUUGGGCACUCUAAUGAGACUGCCGGUGACAAACCGGAGGAAGGUGGGGAUGACGUCAAGUCCUCAUGGCCCUUAUGGGUAGGGCUUCACACGUCAUACAAUGGUCGGUACAGAGGGUUGCCAACCCGCGAGGGGGAGCUAAUCCCACAAAGCCGAUCGUAGUCCGGAUCGCAGUCUGCAACUCGACUGCGUGAAGUCGGAAUCGCUAGUAAUCGUGGAUCAGCAUGUCACGGUGAAUACGUUCCCGGGUCUU
rnacentral:rRNA from 1 species